rnacentral:rRNA from 1 species
UGGGGAAUUUUCCGCAAUGGGCGAAAGCCUGACGGAGCAAUACCGCGUGAGGGACGAAGGUCUGUGGAUUGUAAACCUCUUUUGUUGGGGAAGAUAAUGACGGUACCCAACGAAUAAGCAUCGGCUAACUCCGUGCCAGCAGCCGCGGUAAGACGGAGGAUGCAAGCGUUAUCCGGAAUUAUUGGGCGUAAAGCGUACGUAGGCUGUUUCAUAAGUCUGUUGUCAAAGCGCGAGGCUCAACCUCGUAAAGGCAAUGGAAACUGCGAGACUAGAGAGAGAUAGGGGCAGGAGGAAUUCCAGGUGUAGCGGUGAAAUGCGUAGAUAUCUGGAAGAACACCAGUGGCGAAAGCGUCCUGCUGGAUCUCAACUGACGCUGAAGUACGAAAGCUAGGGGAGCGAAUG